ACGUUAGCGGCGGACGGGUGAGUAACACGUGGGUAACCUACCUAUAAGACUGGGAUAACUUCGGGAAACCGGAGCUAAUACCGGAUAAUACUUCGAACCGCAUGGUUCGAUAGUGAAAGAUGGUUUUGCUAUCACUUAUAGAUGGACCCGCGCCGUAUUAGCUAGUUGGUAAGGUAACGGCUUACCAAGGCGACGAUACGUAGCCGACCUGAGAGGGUGAUCGGCCACACUGGAACUGAGACACGGUCCAGACUCCUACGGGAGGCAGCAGAC
rnacentral:rRNA from 1 species